rnacentral:rRNA from 1 species
GAUGAACGCUGGCGGCGUGCCUAAUACAUGCAAGUCGAGCGAACAGACGAGGAGCUUGCUCCUCUGACGUUAGCGGCGGACGGGUGAGUAACACGUGGAUAACCUACCUAUAAGACUGGGAUAACUUCGGGAAACCGGAGCUAAUACCGGAUAAUAUAUUGAACCGCAUGGUUCAAUAGUGAAAGACGGUUUUGCUGUCACUUAUAGAUGGAUCCGCGCCGCAUUAGCUAGUUGGUAAGGUAACGGCUUACCAAGGCAACGAUGCGUAGCCGACCUGAGAGGGUGAUCGGCCACACUGGAACUGAGACACGGUCCAGACUCCUACGGGAGGCAGCAGUAGGGAAUCUUCCGCAAUGGGCGAAAGCCUGACGGAGCAACGCCGCGUGAGUGAGGAAGGUCUUCGGAUCGUAAAACUCUGUUAUUAGGGAAGAACAAAUGUGUAAGUAACUAUGCACGUCUUGACGGUACCUAAGCAGAAAGCCACGGCUAACUACGU